rnacentral:rRNA from 1 species
GUGGGGAAUCUUGCGCAGUGGGCGAAAGCCUGACGCAGCCAUGCCGCGUGAAUGAUGAAGGUCUUAGGAUUGUAAAAUUCUUUCACCGGGGACGAUAAUGACGGUACCCGGAGAAGAAGCCCCGGCUAACUUCGUGCCAGCAGCCGCGGUAAUACGAAGGGGGCUAGCGUUGCUCGGAAUUACUGGGCGGAAAGGGCGCGUAGGCGGACAGUUUAGUCAGAGGUGAAAGCCCAGGGCUCAACCUUGGAAUUGCCUUUGAUACUGGCUGUCUUGAGUACGGGAGAGGUGAGUGGAACUCCGAGUGUAGAGGUGAAAUUCGUAGAUAUUCGGAAGAACACCAGUGGCGAAGGCGACUCACUGGCCCGUUACUGACGCUGAGGCGCGAAAGCGUGGGGAGCAAACAGGAUUAGAUACCCCUGUAGUCC